GAUACGGUGGUCUAAUGGUUAGUGCAUUGGACUCCAGAUCGAGCGGUCCGGGUUCGAGUCCUGGCCUGGGUCA